GAUGAAGAACGCAGCAAAAUGCGAUAAGUAAUGUGAAUUGCAGAAUUCAGUGAGUCAUCGAAUCUUUGAACGCACAUUGCGCCCUGUGAUAUUCCGCAGGGCAUGCCUGUUCGAGCGUCAUUUCAACCCUCAAGCUCUGCUUGGUGUUGGGCCCUGCCCGCUGCGGCCGGCCCUAAAGACAGUGGCGGUGCCGCCUGGCCCUGAGCGUAGUACAUCUCUCGCUCCAGUGCCCGGUGGUAGCCUGCCAGAACCCCAACUCUCGUGGUUGACCUCGGAUCAGGUAGGGAUACCCGCUGAACUUAAGCAUAUCAAUAAGCGGAGGA
rnacentral:misc_RNA from 1 species